GGUCAAGCUACAAAGGGCUCAUGGCGGAUACCUUGGCACACAGAGGCGAUGAAGGACGUGGUUACCUGCGAUAUGUCUCGGGGAGCUGGAUACACGCUUUGAUCCGGGAAUUUCCGAAUGGGGCAACCCUUAGAACGGCCAGCUGAAUACAUAGGCUGGCGCGAGCCAACCCAGCGAAUUGAAACAUCUUAGAGCGAGAAGAA
rnacentral:rRNA from 1 species